rnacentral:ncRNA from 1 species
UAGUCGGUCCCAAGGGUUGGGCUGUUCGCCCAUUAAAGCGGUACGCGAGCUGGGUUCAGAACGUCGUGAGACAGUUCGGUCCCUAUCCGUCGUGGGCGCAGGAAAUUUGAGAGGAGCUGUCCUUAGUACGAGAGGACCGGGAUGGACGCACCGCUGGUGUACCAGUUGUCUUGCCAAAGGCAUCGCUGGGUAGCUAUGUGCGGACGGGAUAAGUGCUGAAAGCAUCUAAGCAUGAAGCCCCCCUCAAGAUGAGAUUUCCCAUAGCGUCAAGCUAGUAAGAUCCCUGAAAGAUGAUCAGGUUGAUAGGUCAGAGGUGGAAGCGCGGUGACGUGUGGAGCUGACUGAUACUAAUCGAUCGAGGACUUAACCUA